CCUACGAGUGGCAGCAGUGGGGAAUAUUGGUCAAUGGGCGCAAGCCUGACCCAGCAAAGCCGCGUGAAGGAUGACUGCUUUCUGGUUUGAAACUUCCUUUUUCAUGGAAGAGUAGAAGACGGUGACUGACGAAUUAUCUUUGGCGAACUAAGUACCAUCAGCCCCGGUAGUGCGAGGGUGACCAGCAUUAUCCGGAUUUACUGGGUUUAAAGGGCGUGUAGACGGGUUGAUAAGUCAGAAGGGAAAUUCUGCGGCUUAAUCGCAGAAUUGCAGUUGAAACUGGUGGUCUUGAGUACUGGGGAGGCAGACGGAAGUCGUAGUGUAGCGGUGAAAUGCGUAGAUAUUAGGAGGAACUCCAGUGGCGAAGGCGGUCUGCUGGACAGCAACUGACGGUGAGGCGCGAAAGCGUGGGGAGCAAACAGGAUUAGAUACCCUGGUAGUC
rnacentral:rRNA from 1 species